UGAGAAUUAGUUACAUAAGAUCCGCACGACCACACCAACGCCUCUUUCAAUUCUCAUAUUCAGUAUCUUCUGAUCAGUUGUUUUCAAAAAUCGCAUCAAAGUUUGUUCUUAAAGCAAAACUACAAAAUGUUUCACAAAAUUUUACUCACUUUGACAAUGGUGCUGGCCUACUCAAUCUCAGGAAACGCUCUGAAAUGUUAUCAGUGCAAUUACAUAGCUGACACUCUUCCCGACAAGGAAGCACAAAAGGAACAAUGCAACGAAACAACUAUUUGCAGCGGUGACACAAAUUACUGUUACUCAGCCUUGGUUCAACGAGCUGAUAAACUGUACAAUGUUCUGAGGGGGUGCGACAGCAAAGCCACGAAUUACUGUCCAGACGUAACGAAGGCUUGUAAAAACGCGAUCAAGAGAGAUAACCUGAAGUCUUGCAAUGGGAAGUGUUGCAAAACCGACCGCUGUAACGUCGCCGUGACUUCCACUGGCGGUGCUGGCAGAGUCAUGGCUAAAAAAAUGGGAUUCUUGCUUGGAUUCAUCUUUGCAAUGUUUUUUGUGUAACUCGAUAAUGAAAGAUUGGUGAAGAUUGGAUUGUUUUCCCCCACAUUUUGUCAUUCUGAUUAGCUUGCACGAGAAAUUUUACGUAAAUUAAUUUGUGUUGAUUGUAGUGAACAGUUUUAAAUUUUACAUGGUCAUUGCAUUGAAAUGUUCAAAUAAGCAUUUUAUUAAUAAAAAUUUUCAAACAUUUGG